rnacentral:rRNA from 1 species
GACAUGCGCUUACACACCCCUCAGUUGAACGGCAGCACGGAGCUUGCUCUGGGGCGAGUGGCGAACGGGUGAGUAAUAUAUCGGAACGUACCCUGGAGUGGGGGAUAACGUAGCGAAAGUUACGCUAAUACCGCAUACGAUCUAAGGAUGAAAGUGGGGGAUCGCAAGACCUCAUGCUCGUGGAGCGGCCGAUAUCUUGAUUAGCUAGUUGGUAGGGUAAAAGCCUACCAAGGCAUCCGAUCAGUAGCUUGGUCUGAGAGGACGACCAGCCACACUGGAACUGAGACACGGUCCCAGACUCCUACGGGAGGCAGCAGUGGGGAAUUUUGGACAAUGGGCGAAAGCCUGAUCCAGCAAUGCCGCGUGAGUGAAGAAGGCCUUCGGGUUGUAAAGCUCUUUUGUCAGGGAAGAAACGGUGAGAGCUAAUAUCUUUUGCUAAUGACGGUACCUGAAGAAUAAGCACCGGCUAACUACGGUGCCAGCAGCCGCGGUAAUACGUAGGGUGCAAGCGUUAAUCGGAAUUACUGGGCGUAAAGCGUGCGCAGGGCGGUUUUUGUAAGUCUGAAUGUGAAAUCCCCGGGCUCAACCUGGGGAAUUGCAUUGGAAGACUGCAAGGCUAGAAUCUGGACAGAGGGGGGUAGAACUCCACGUGUAGCAGUGAAAUGCGUAGAUAUGUGGAGGAACACCGAUGGCGAAGGCAGCCCCCUGGGUCAAGAUUGACGCUCAUGCACGAAAGCGUGGGGAGCAAACAGGAUUAGAUACCCUGGUAGUCCACGCUACCAUAAAACAGAUGUCUACUUAGUUAUCGGUACUUAAUUGACUUGGUAACGCAGGUGAGCGGUCGAUAACCCCUGAUCCCGUGGGGAGUACGGUCGCAAGAUUAAAACCUCAAAUGAAUG